rnacentral:lncRNA from 1 species
UGAAUCAAGUCAACAAUUUUGCGUCAAUGACGAUAAUAUUGACAACUGACGAGUGAAUGUUAGAGCACAGAAUAAUUAUUAAUAAUAUUACUAGUACGAACGAGACAUUACGGUCAUCAGCUAUGAUUUCUUAUUGCGGGGCCAAAUAAUUGUCCUGAUCGCAUCGGCUAGCGACACGACCGUCAAAUUUUACGAGUGGAAAAUUAUGAUUGAAUGUGAUAUUUUUUAGUACUUGUUGUGGAAUUUAAAAAAUAUUGACUAUACUGCGGCACAGACCGUUUUUGUUCGUUAAGGAAGCGUCUAUGUUGGUAUGUUUACAAUUAUUGUUGCGACUUUGUGUUCUACCUCGCUGUCCAGUCACUGCAACGCUGCGGCGCACACCAUUGUUAUUCGUUAAGGAAGCGUCUAUAGUAGUAACUUUGUUUACAAUUGUUGUGAAUCUGUGUUCAGCUACCUCGCUCUCCAGUCACUACUCGCAACGUCGAUCUCAAAGCGUUUAGUAAUUUUGCUGGUUCAGUUAUAAGCUGGUAGUUGAACACGACAGUGAAGUCAGAAUUCGGAGGUACCAAGUUCACUUCACUGGACUCCAAUACUUUACGAGUUUUGACGCUAUCAGCUAUGGAUCAUCAUCACCCCCUCGUUAUCGUAUAAUACAUUUUAUCAAAACAGAAAAUGAUUCACUUUCUCAUGAUGAAUCAAGUGAUUCAGAAGAUUCUGCCAGAGAUGUCUAUUGAUACUAAAAAUAAAACAAAAACAACAUAAAAUAUGUGAAUUAGUCUCUACAUCUUAUGAAAAAGAUGUCAAUAUUUCUGAUUCAAAUUUCAGGUAAAAUUGAAAAUAUGCAUAUAAGUUUUCCCGACAACUGAAUUGCCUAUAAUGAAACUAUUAUCACGAAAAUCAAGACCACAUACUUGCCUUGAAUGCUGUUUAAAAUGUAAAAACGCUUGACAGUCCUUUACAUAUAUGUAGGAUACGAAAUAUUGACAAGCAAAAUUAAAUUUUAAAAAUUUUCAUUCAAUCUAAAAAACAAAUUACAGACUUCUUGAAAUUUCUCUUCUGUCUUUGUAAAAUUCAUAAUGCUAUGCUAUGAUCUUGGUCAUAUCAACACGUCAAAUCUGUGGUGACAAACUUAAAUGCACCAUAUAACACUGAUGACUGGUCAAUGCACAAAAUGUGAAAUUUUGUAUUUAUUGAAAAUCAUCUUCCUUUAAUGCCGAAACCCAGUAUGUUCAUAUGGAUGACUUGUAAAGGACACAAUUCUAAAACAAAUCCUAGUUUCCCAACUAUUGGCUUACCACGUUUAUGGGGAUAUAUCCUUAUAUUAUAAGUUUCAGCAAUGCAACUCGUUUAAAAUUAUACGGAGAAUCACAGAAUAACUUGUUCUAUAUGUGUCAAGGAUCAACGGAUGUGGCAUUUCCCACUGUUGUUCCAAAGGUUAAAGAAGAAAAAAAUGUGUUCGUUCUACUAAAGGAUCCACAGACUCAACCCAUACACAACCCAUAGAAUAAUUAUGCAUUUUUGCUAUCUGGCGUGAUAUUCUGAGCGGAAUGAAGAAACUAAUGGAUUCGGUGUUUAUUUUUUUUUUAUCCUGUUUAUAAAAGUUCCACAAGAAGGAGUCAGUGGCGGACGCAGGGAGGGUCCAAACCCUAUAAAAUCUAUACAAAAGUAUCUUUAAGUUAACUGGAAAAUAUCGAUAUAAUGCUAUUUUGGACAACUAUGCUUCAAACUUGGACAUUACUGACCCACCGAAAAUAGAAAUCCAAAAACCAUAGUUAGUUUAUAAAAAAAGAUCAAUGAGAAACAUAAUGAAAGAUCGUUUUAAAAUAUUUAAAAAAUCGAUUAAUGAAGAAAUAGUGAAUAAUCAACCUUAUA